rnacentral:lncRNA from 1 species
CCAAAUGUCACAAUAUAAACCUCAUUCUCCAAACAAUGCAAUGUAACGACAAAAGUCAAAAUAGAAAUAUAAAGCUCAUACAUUAACACUCAAUUCUCGCAAAACAGAGCAUUUUGUAACACUUGAUACAAGCCCACAAUGUAUUCACAGGUUGUUUUUGGCUUAUUAAAAAAAUAAGUUAACCCUAUUUCAUCUUCAAUUAUGAAAUCCAUUUGCAUUAUAUUACCCCAAAAAGGAGGUACAGUGAAUUAAAUUUCUUGGGCAAAUUAAGCUCAUUUUAAUCCACCAAAGAAAGGGAAUUCAUUCGAUUAAUAAUUUCCUUGUUCUAUAGUAAUUUGAUGCAUCCAAAUAUAACCUAAUUGACAAACAUUUCCAUGGAAAACUCUCCGGGAAUAAGAAAGUAAAAAAUUAUAUCUAUAUAUAUAACUAAUCAAGAUCAUUGCAUUUUUUCAUUAUACGCAUGAUAUUUCACUACACAAUUAGUGAUAAUGAACAUGAAAAACACAAUCAUGAGAAAACGAUAACAAGAGGGGAAUCGGAAAUUGAAAAGGACCUGAUGUGUCUCUGCUUGAUGAGAACCCUAGCAUGGUGGAUAGACUUGGCCAUGCCGGACUUGAAGACGAGGGUCUGGAGGCGGCGCUCGAGGAAGUUCUCGACAGUGAGUGCAAGGACGUAAUCAAGUUUGUUCUGGGUCUCGUCGAGGAGACCGUAGCGAAACAUGCGGCGGAGGAGAGCCUCGCCCUCAAAGAUCCGGCGCGGGUUUUUCUCGUCCAGAGUGAGGAGGUUACGCGCGUUGUUGCGGAUGCGGCUGAGGGCGUACUGCACCCUCCACAGCUCCCUCUUGCACCGCAGCCCGUACUCCCCCACCAGCUUCAGCUCCGCGUCCAGACGCUCCUUCUCGUACGGACGACGCGGCUUCUUGAACGUCUUUCCAU